CGGCGUAAAGAGUGGUUAUGGAGAGUUAAAAAAUAGAGCUGAAGACCUCUCGGGCCGUAAUACGCAUCCAGAAGUUCGAAUCACAAACACGAAAGUAGCUUUACCUUCUUCCACCAGAAUCCACGACAGCUGGGACACAAACUGGGAUUAGAUACCCCACUAUGCCCUGCCGUAAACUUAGAUGUUUUAGUACAAAAAAUAUCCGCCCGGGAACUACGAGCGCCAGCUUAAAACCCAAAGGACUUGGCGGUGCUUCAGACCCCCCUAGAGGAGCCUGUUCUAGAACCGAUUACCCCCGUUCAACCUCACUACUCCUUGCUUUUCCCGCCUAUAUACCGCCGUCGCCAGCUUACCCUGUGAAGGAACCACAGUGAGCAAAAUGAGCAAUGCUCAGAACGUCAGGUCGAGGUGUAGCGUACGGAGUAGGAAGAAAUGGGCUACAUUAUCUGAACCAGAUUAUUCACGGAAGAUCGCCUGAAAUGGUGACCUGAAGGUGGAUUUAGCAGUAAAGGGGGAGUAGAGCGCCCCCUUGAAGCCGGCUCUGAAGCGCGCACACACCGCCCGUCACUCUCCCCAACAACU
rnacentral:rRNA from 1 species